GGGGGCAGGCCUAACACAUNCAAUUCGAGCGNUAGAAGANAAGCUUGUUUCUCUUGAGAGCGGCGGACGGGUGAGUAAUGCCUAGGAAUCUNCCUGGUAGNGGGGGAUAACGUUCGGAAACGGACGCUAAUACCGCAUACGUCCUACGGGAGAAAGCAGGGGACCUUCGGGCCUUGCGCUAUCAGAUGAGCCUAGGUCGGAUUAGCUAGUUGGUGGGGUAAUGGCUCACCAAGGCGACGAUCCGUAACUGGUCUGAGAGGAUGAUCAGUCACACUGGAACUGAGACACGGUCCAGACUCCUACGGGAGGCAGCAGUGGGGAAUAUUGGACAAUGGGCGAAAGCCUGAUCCAGCCAUGCCGCGUGUGUGAAGACAGGUCUUCGCGAUUGUAAAUGCACUUUAAGUUGGGAGGAAGGGCAGUANAUUAAUACUCUGCAAUUUUGACGUACCGACAGAAUAAGCACCGCACC
rnacentral:rRNA from 1 species